AUUUGGUCAAGCGUUUAAGGGCUUGCGGUGGAUUCCUUGGCGUCAACGGACGAUGAAGGGCGUAGCAAGUUGCGAUAAGCUUCGGGGAGCCGCUAACAGGCGUUGAUCCGGAGAUUCCCGAAUAGGGUAACCUUGCACGGGUUAUACCGUGUAAUCCCUGGCUGAAUUCAUAGGUCAGGGAAGAUAACCAGGGGAAUUGAAACAUCUUAGUACCCUGAGGAACAGAAAGCAAAAGCGAUUCUCUGAGUAGCGGCGAGCGAAAGGGGAACAGCCUAAACCAGACUGUAUGUUAAAGCUCGUGGGCGUUGUACAUCUGGGGUUGUGGGUUUUAACCGGGCGGAGCUACGAAUCCGCCGGGAUGUAAGAAAAACAUGUUUUAGCUUAAGAAACUGGAAAGUUUCGCCAUAGAGGGUGAUAGCCCCGUGAGCGAAAAGGCAUGUUCAUCCCGGGUUAGAUACCCGAGUACUGCGGGACACGUGAAAUCUUGCAGGAAUCUGGGAGGACCACCUCCUAAGGCUAAAUACUGUUGACGACCGAUAGUGGACUAGUACCGUGAGGGAAAGGUGAAAAGCACCCCGGUGAGGGGAGUGAAAUAGAAUAUGAAACCGUAAGCCUACAAUCAGUGGGAGCACUAUAUUUCCGUUUCGGCGGAGACAGGUGUGACCGCGUACCUUUUGCAUAAUGAGCCGUCGAGUUACUUUACUUAGCAAGGUUAAGCCGUUAGGUGUAGCCGUAGCGAAAGCGAGUCUUAAUAGGGCGAUUAGUUAAGUGGAGUAGACCCGAAGCCGGGUGAUCUAUCCAUGGCCAGGGUGAAGCGAAGGUAACACUUCGUGAAGGCCCGAACCAGUAGUCGUUGAAAAGACUUUGGAUGAGCUGUGGAUAGGGGUGAAAGGCCAAUCAAACCCGGCAAUAGCUGGUUCUCCUCGAAAUAGUUUUAGGACUAGCCUUGCAUAAAAUAGCAUAUGGAGGUAGGGCGCUGGAUGGGCUAGGGGCCUCACCAGGUUACCAAACCCAACCAAUCUUCGAAUUCCAUAUGUGGUACUGCAGGAGUCAGACUAUGGGUGAUAAGGUCCAUGGUCGAAAGGGAAAGAGCCCAGAUCACCAGCUAAGGUCCCAAAGUCAUGCUAAGUGGGAAAGGCUGUGGGAAUACACAGACAAUCAGGAGGUUGGCUUAGAAGCAGCAAUCCUUUAAAGAAAGCGUAAUAGCUCACUGAUCAAGUGUACCUGCGCCGAAAAUGUAACGGGGCUAAGCAUGGCACCGAAGCUGUGAAUUGGAAACCAUUUCGGUGGUUUCUUCUGGUAGAGGAGCGUUCCAUACUGGGCUGAAGCUCGACCGUAAGGACGGGUGGACUGUAUGGAAGUGAGUAUGACGGCAUGAGUAACGAUAAAACAGGUGAGAAACCUGUUCGCCGAAAAUCCAAGGUUUCCUGAGGAAGGGUAAUCCUCUCAGGGUAAGUCGGCCCCUAAGGCGAGGCUGAAAAGCGUAGCUGAUGGGAAACGGGUUAAUAUUCCCGUACCGGCCAGAUCGCGUUAUUAGCGAUGGGGUAACGUAGAAGGGUAGUCUAUCCGGGUGUUGGAUGUCCCGGUACAAGCAGGUAGGAGGGUGGUUUUGGCAAAUCCGGACCGCCAUUCAACUCCGAGAUGUGAUGUGGAGCUUCUCUUUCGGGACAAGCGAACUAGAUGAUCCCAUGCUACCUAGAAAAACCUCUAGUGAGUGGUUUGGCCGACCGUACUCUAAACCAACACAGGUGGAUGAGUAGAGAAUACUAAGGCGCUUGAGAGAACUCUGGUUAAGGAACUCGGCAAAUUGACUCCGUAACCUAGGGAUAAGGAGUGCCUCCAUUAGGUGAAAGAACUUGCUUCUGGAGCUGAAGGGGGUUGCAGUGACCAGGUAGCCGCGACUGUUUACUAAAAACAUAGGACUCUGCGAAGUCGCAAGACGAUGUAUAGGGUCUGACGCCUGCCCGGUGCCGGAAGGUUAAAAGGAGGGGUUAGUCUUCGGACGAAGCUCUGAAUUGAAGCCCCGGUAAACGGCGGCCGUAACUAUAACGGUCCUAAGGUAGCGAAAUUCCUUGUCGGGUAAGUUCCGACCUGCACGAAUGGCGUAACGAUGGCUACACUGUCUCAACCAGGGACUCAGUGAAAUUGACAUACCGGUGAAGAUGCCGGUUUCCCGCGACAGGACGGAAAGACCCCGUGCACCUUUACUACAACCUGAUAUGGAAUAUCGGUUUAGUAUGUGUAGGAUAGGUGGGAGACUUUGAAGCUUCGGCGCUAGCCGAGGUGGAGUCAUCCUUGAAAUACCACCCUUAUUACACUGCUAUUCUAACCUCGAUCCCGUGAAUCCGGGUCAGGGACAAUGUCAGGCGGGUAGUUUGACUGGGGCGGUCGCCUCCUAAAAUGUAACGGAGGCGCGCGAAGGUUCUCUCAGGCUGAUUGGAAACCAGCCUUCGAGUGCAAAGGCAUAAGAGAGCUUGACUGCGAGACUUACAAGUCGAGCAGGUGCGAAAGCAGGUCUUAGUGAUCCGGUGGUUCCAUGUGGAAGGGCCAUCGCUCAACGGAUAAAAGGUACGCCGGGGAUAACAGGCUUAUCGCCCCCAAGAGUCCAUAUCGACGGGGCGGUUUGGCACCUCGAUGUCGGCUCACCGCAUCCUGGGGCUGAAGCAGGUCCCAAGGGUUGGUCUGUUCGCCCAUUAAAGCGGUACGCGAGCUGGGUUUAGAACGUCGUGAGACAGUUCGGUCCCUAUCCGUCGUGGGUGUUAGAUAUUUGAAGGGAACUGCUCCUAGUACGAGAGGACCGGGGUGGACAAACCUCUAGUGUGCUGGUUGUGAUGCCAAUUGCAUUGCCAGGUAGCUAUGUUUGGAAAGGAUAACCGCUGAAAGCAUCUAAGCGGGAAGCCAACCCUAAAACAAGAUAUCUCUUCUUCCUUCGGGAAGACUAAAGACUCCUUGAAGACUACGAGGUUGAUAGGCAGGAUGUGUACGCACAGUAAUGUGUUCAGCUAACCUGUACUAAUAAGUCGUGAGGCUUGACCUUUUUAUUU
rnacentral:rRNA from 1 species